UUAUCUUGUAUGGUGGUAUCGCAUUGUGAUUUUAAUUUGUAUUUUUUUAUUAUGAAGAUGUAGUUUACUGUUUUUAACAUAAUUAGGUAUCUAAUUUUACCAGAUUACUUUUCUGCUUCUAUUGAGAUGAUUAUAUAAAUUUUCACUUAUGUGUUUAUUAAUGUAGUGUAUUACACUGAUAGAUUUACAAGUGUAAAAAUGUACCCUUGAUUUUCUGAAGUAAAUGGCUUAGUCUUGGAGUAUUGCUUUUUUAAUCACUGAAUUCUAUUGUCUAGUAUUUUACUUAGGAUUUUGAACUAGAUUGAUGAAAGAUAUUGGCCAGUAGAUUUCUUUUCUUUUCCCAUUCUUGUAGGGAUUUGGCAUCAUGGUAAUGUAAUCUCCAUACAAAUAGGUAGAAAGUGUAUCAUCCUUAUUAUCUGGUAGAUUUUGUAUAAUAUUGGUGUUUGGAAGAAUUCACAGGUUAAUCUAUUAUAGUUUGAAAUGUUCAUUAUGGGAAAAUUUCUUAAAUUGAAUUCAUUUCUUCAUGGGAUUUCAAAUAAUUCAGAUUUUUAAUUUAUUAUUAAGUCCGUUUGGUAAGUUGAAUUUUCAGAGAAUGUUUUCAUUUCAUUCAAAUUUUCAAAUUUAUUGGUUUAAAAUGUUUCAUAUUCAAUUGUUAUAGUUUUAACAUUUAAAUGAUUUAUACUUAUGUCUAAUAUUCCUAACAUAGGUAAUUUGUGUUUGCUUCUUAAAAGAUUAGUCUUCCUAAGAGUUUUUUUCAGUUUUAUUAAAAUUAAAUAAGAACAAAUUUCUGAUAAUUUCCAAAUAUCCUUAAGCUGGUAAGCCACUUCAGCAAAGUCUCAGGAUACAAAAUCAAUGUGGAAAAAUCACAAGCAUUCCUAUACACCAAUAAUAGACAGAGAUCCAAAUCAUCAGUGAACUCACAUUCACAAUUGCUACAAAGAGAAUAAAAUACCUAGGAAUACAACCUGUGAGGGAUGUGAAGCAGCUCUUCAAGAAGAACUACAAACCACUGCUCAAGGAAAUAAGGAAGGAUACAAAGAAAUGGAAAAACAUUCCAUGCUCAUGGAUAGGAAGAAUCAGUGUCGUAAGAAUGGCCAUACUGCCCAAAGUAAUUUAAAGAUUCAAUGCUAUUCCCAUCAAACUACCAUUGACUUUCUUCACAUAAUUAGAAAAAAACUAAAUUUCAUAUGGAAUCAAAAAAGAACCUGUAUAGCCAAGACAAUCCUAAGCAAAGAAAAAAGCUGGAGGCAUCACGCUACCUGACUUCAAACUAUACUACAAGGCUACAGUAACCAAAACAACAUGGUACAGGUACCAAAACAGAUAUAUAGACCAAUGGAACAGAACAUCGGCCUCAGAAAUAACACCACACAUCUACAACAAUUUGGACAAAACUGGACAAAAACAAGUAAUGGGCAAAGGAUUCCCUAUUCAAUAAACGGUGUUGGGAAAACUGGCUUGCCAUACGCAGAAAACUGAAACUGAAUGCCUUCCUUACACCCUAUACAAAAUUUUUCUCAAGAUAGAUUAAAGAAUUAAAUGUAAGACCUAAAACCAUACAAAUCCUAUAAGAAAACCUAGGCAAUACCAUCCAGGACAGAGGCAUGGGCAAAGACUUCAUG
ensembl:lncRNA